ACACGACUACAUUAGAUACCCGUGUAGUCCUAGCCGUAAACGAUACUCGCUAGGUGUCGGCCACGGUGCGACCGUUGUCGGUGCCGUAGGGGAAGCCGUGAAGCGAGCCACCUGGGAAGUACGGCCGCAAGGCUGAAACUUAAAGGAAUUGGCGGGGGAGCACCACAACGGGUGGAGCUUGCGGUUUAAUUGGAUUCAACGCCGGAAAUCUUACCGGGACCGACAGCAACAUGAAGGCCAGGCUGAAGACUUUGCCGGAUUAGCUG
rnacentral:rRNA from 1 species